AGGGCCCCCAUCCUCGGCGCCCCUUAGGCUCUCACCCGACGACGCCGGGCUCCCUCCGAGGUACCCGCGGCCCCGGUCCCCUCUUCUGGAGACGGCGCCAGGUGAACUGCCCGCACAGAUUGCUCUCUGAAUGGAGUCGUGGCAGUGAAAGCACCAACUCCUAACCACAGGACCGCUAGGGAAGUCCCUGCUCCUGGCUGCUUUGACCCAGCAUAAUGCUGCUGCGAUUCAUCCAUGUCAUACAUAUCAGUGGAAUCAAUAGGGUUGAGAAGUUUCAAAUCUAAAGGAAAGUUGCUGAAAUAACACAAUGAAUACCCUCCACUUAAGCUCCCAAUGGUGGACAUUUUGCCACAUUUGCUUUCUUGCUCUCUUACACGACACACACUCGCACACAUUUUACUAAACCAUUGGCUACUUCACCUUGCAUCUCUGAGGACGCAGAUAUCCCUCUACAUAAUCAUGUACCAUUAUCACAUGUGAUCGACUGAACAUUUCUCUUUAGACCCCUUUCAUCUGAAAUACUCCCCUUGCCUUCUUUUUUUUUCUUUUUUUAAAUAUUUAUUUAUUUAUUUUGGCUGUGCCGGGUCUUAGUUGUGGCCCACAGGAUCUUCUGUUGCGGCAUGCAUGCGGGAUCUAGUUCUCUGACCAGAGAUUGAGCCCAGGCCCCCUGCAUUGGGAGCAUGGAGUCUUACUCACUGGACCACCAGGGAAGUCCCACUCCCCUUGCCUUCUUAUGUGUCUUUCGGGAUAUUGACUUUGGGGGGAAGAAUACAAGCAGCUGUUUUCCAAAAUGUUUCUCAGACUUAUCCAGGAUAAUGUAUUUAGAUUUAGUUUGUUCUUAACAGCUGUAAGGUAUUUCAUCCAAUGUUUAUGCCCCGAUUUGUUUCUCCACUCUCCUAUCAAUGAACACUUAGUCUUCUGGCACUUCUUCAACAUUAUAAACAAUGUUCUAAUGCACAUCCUUGUACGUAGAUCUCCAUGGACACUUGGAUGGAAAUUUUAUGCUGUCAUCAUUCUAGAAGUAGAAUCAGUGGGGGGAGGUGUUCCAGUGAUCUCUUGCUGGGUAAUAACUAUCCCACCAUUUAGAGGCUUGGAACAGCAAAUUUUUUUUUUUUUUAAUUAUUCUUUAGAACUUUUUUUAAAAUUUAUUUUUGGCUGCGUUGGGUCUUCAUUGCUGCACGCGGGCUUUCUCUAGUUUUGGCUAGCGGGGGCUCCUCUUCAUUGCGGUGCGCGGGCUUCUCAUCGUGGUGGCUUCUCUUGUUGCAAAGCACAGGCUCUAGGCACACAGGCUCAGUAGUUGUGUCGCACAGGCUUCAUGUGGGAUCUUCCCGGACCAGGGCUUGAAGCCGUGUCCCCUGCAUUGACAGGCGGAUUCUUAACCACUGUGCCACCAGGGAAGCCCAGCAAUUUGGUUUUCUCUGUCACAGUUUUGAGGGUUGGCUGGGCUCUGCCGGGAUCUCAUGCAGUUGCAGGUAAGAUGGUGGCCGGGGCUGGAGUCGUCAGAUGGUUUCUCCGCUCCCAAGUCUGGCGCCUGGGCUGGCUGGCUGGGUCAGCUGGGACGAGAUAGCGUUUCUUUCUUCACGCAGCCUCUGCACGUGUCUGCCUGGAUUUCCUCCCAGCGAGGCUAUCCCAGACUCCUCACGUGGCAGCCGACUUCCCCAAAAACGAGGUUCCAAGAAGCCUGGGCAGAAGCUGCCAGGCUUCUUAAGACUCAGAAGUUCCCAGAACCAUCACUUCUACAGCAUGCUACUGGUCAGGCCUCUCACUGUUGUGGCUUCUCCCAUUGCGGAGCACAGGCUCCCGACGCGCAGGCUCAGCAGCCAUGGCUCACGGGCCCAGCCGCUCCGCGGCACGUGGGAUCUUCCCGGUCCAGGGCACGAACCCGUGUCCCCUGAAUCGGCAGGCGGACUCUCAACCACUGCACCACCAGGGAAGCCCUACCUUAACCAUUUUUAAGUGUACAGGUUGGCGGCAUUACAUGCAGUCACAAUGCUGGGCAGAAAUCACCACCAUCAUCCCCAUAACUCCUUUCAGCUUGUAAAACUGAAACUCUGUCCCCAUUAAACACAAACUACCCCUUCUCCCCACCCUUGGCCCCUGGCAGUCACCACUGUACUUUCUGUCUCUGUGAGUUUCAGUACUCUAAGUACCUCAUAUGAGUGGAAUCCUGUAGUAGUUGCCUGCCAUUAAGUCUUUUCAAGGACAGUUUCUGUUGAUUUUUUUUUCCUUUGAACUGGCCAUAUUUCCUGUUUCUUUGUGUGCCUUGUGAUUUUUUGUUGAACACUGGGACAUUUAAAUCUAAUAAUGUGGUAACUCUGGAAGUCAGAUUCUCCCCCUCCCCAGGGUUUGCUGUUUUUUGUUGUUGUUUGGGGGCUUUUUUUUUUUUUUGGAAUGUUGUAGGCUGUCUCUGUGACUGAGGUGUGAACUUAAUGUGUUCUUAGGUCUUUUCUGAGCCUUUCCUUGGGCACACGCAGUCACUUGCUAAUUUUCCCCAUAGAUGCAGGUUUUUUGUUUUGUUUUGUUUUGUUUUAAUGUUCUAGUCUUUAAUGUCUGACUCCUGAAAGGGGAAAAUCGUUAAAAGAUGGGGAUUAAUACUCAAUGCUCUGUGGUGACCUAAAUGGGAAGGAAAAGGAAAUCCAAAAAAGAGGGGAUAUAUGUAUAUGUAUAGGUUCACUUUGUUGUACAGUAGAAACUAACACAACAUUGUAAAGCAACUAUACUCCAAUAAAAAUUUAUUUAAAAAGAAAAAGAAAGGGGUUAUAAAGGGGUCCGGGGCCUUUAAAUUCCCUGGCAUUUACUUCAGCCAGAUGGGCGGGGGCUGCAGCAGCGGGCGAGCUGCCACAAGAAUGGCUGCCGCCCCUCGGUCUACAGCUCCCUGAUCAGAAGCAUUGAUCAGUCUCAGCCGUCAGAGCCCAGAUCCCCCAUCUUCGGAGGACAGGGUCCUUUUUUGCUCACCUUCCUUCCUACAAGUUCUCCAGGUGGGGGAUGGGCAGCUACUACUGAACUGAGAGCUGAAAUUGAUGGCCAUUUACUGUCCAAGCCUUCCCCUGGAAGUUGUAAGCCUUCAGGCUUCCAGAAUAGUUCCAUCAGACAGAUUCUGCCAGUGCAAUUGUUGUCCAGGUGGGGAGACAGAUUCCUGGUGCUUCCUACUCCACCAUCUUCCCAGAAUCUUCUCUGAUCCAAAGCCUUUAGCACAACAGUGGGUGAAACAGUCGGGGAGUGAAGAAGGGAACUUCCCAGGACUCCUUGACACAGGAGCCCCACUCACCACUCAUUGUGGUACCAAAACCUGUUGGUGAAGCCCUGACUUGGCGGCAAUUAGAUUGAGAAAACAGAACUAGAAGUGCAAGAGUUCAUGAGACUAUGGAAGUUGGAAUGUUUAAACAGCCUUUAUGUAAAGAAGCUGUGUCUCCUUUACCUAUUGUUUUAUGGGAAUGGAUAUUAUGUCCUGCUGGGAAUAUUUCCCCUACCUGGUAUUGUAAACUCCAAACCUGUAGAUGGAGUCCCAGCGGAGGCCACAUCUAGGAAUGUAAGGGUCGAUUGAAUUAAGGUAAAAGUUCUACUAACUGGAAUUCUACUAAUUGGAAUACUCCAUCAGACUUUCUGUGAAGUGCCUCUUUUACCUGAGUGCAAUUACAGGGAUUGACACUGUAUCUGACUGGGGAAUGUUUCCCUAACUAGUACUGUGAAACAGAAGGUGUGCAAAUCCUCCCUUCAAGCAAGGUUACUUGGACAUGCUAAACAGGAACCAGUAAGAUUGCCCGACUCUACACAGCGUUGAAUAGAAGGUGGGGUGCUGGCAGGGACAGAGUCUCUGUGCGGUAGACCUAUGUGGAUUGUAGACUGGGGCUUAAGGCAAAAGCCUGUGAGCACCCCCCAGCGAUGACUACUGAGACUUUCAACUGGAGAGUUUCCAGGGUUAUUUACUAUCUUGUUUUCAGACAUUAAUUGAAGCUACCCCAUGACUGAAGGACAUAAAAUGAUCUUAAAACCUGAAAUACCCAUUACGUCUAGGGUGAUAUCAGAGAAAUGCUCUAAUGGGGAUGGCAGAACCCAGAAGAGUUCCAUCAUAAGAUGGAAAUGGUUUUCACAAAAUGGCGCUGCCUGGGGAGACCGUCACGAGGAGGGAGCCUCUCUUCUCUGAGGACUGAAUCCGGAUCUGUGUGAGCAGCUCUGGAUUCCACCACUUGGACAGUGAGUGCCCUAUUAACAGCUCUCGACUGACCAACAAGAAGAUGCUUGGUUUGUGGACAGCAGUUCCAAGGUGAACAGACAACCUCCUCUUUGGAAGGCCACCACUGUGAUCAAAGAAUGUGAAAACAGAUCAGUCUGGUGGGCUGAACUGCAAGCUGUUUUCCUAGCCAUGAUGGGAGAAUUGGCAGUGGGGAAAUUCCCUAUGUUUUGGUUUCUACAGACUCACGGUCAGGCAGGAGGGCAAUGGAAACCUGGCCUGUUAAAGGGAUGCCUAGGGAAUUCUCUGAUGGUCUAAUGGUUAGGACUCUGGGCUUCCACUGCAGGGGACACUGGUUUGAUCCCUGGUCGGGGAACAAAGAUCCCACAUGCAGCACAGCGUGGCCAAAAAAUAAUUAUAAUAAUUAAAAAUAAAUAAAUAAAAUGAUGCCGAUAUGGGACACAGCCCCGUGGAAAUAACUAUGGAAAUUUGAGGGGUGCUUGAA